UCCAUCUGCAGUUAAGGGCCUUUAUUGACCAGACGGGGUAAGGAGGUCUGGGAGCCAGUGAACAGAGGGCAGCUAAGCCUGCCCUCAGCGGGCCACCAGACGGAGCUGGAAGGCUGGGGGGAUGUUGCCCAGGCCAGUGCACUGUGGGCUGAGGUCGAUGUUGGCAGGGUUCCCCACUGGGAGCAAACAGAACCGCUGCAGGAUGGCGGUAAAGAAGAGGAAGAUCUCCGAUCGCGCCAGGCCUGCUCCCAGGCACAUCCUCUUUCCUGAGGACACAGGGAUGCAGGGUGGGAACCAGGCACCCUGGGGCCUGCCCAGCCUUGUCCCCUCCCUCCUGGCCCAGACCUGGGGCAAAGGGCAUGAAGGCAUCAUUGGUCUGAAACUCGCCCUUGUCGUCCAGGAAAUUCGUGGGGUUGAAGCAGUCUGGGUCUUUGAAUUGGGUGGGGUCCCGAUGUGAAGACACAAGCAGAGGAAUCACAAAGGUGCUCCCCAGCCCCCCGCAGAAUCCCCAUGCUGAGUAGGCACCUUGGGCAGGAAGUAGCCAUGCAGGUGGGUGUCACGCGUGAGGGCACGUGGCAGCCCCAAUGGCAGCACACUGAUGAAGCGCUGAAUCUCAUGCAGCACGGCGUUGGUGUAGGGCAGGCUUUCCAGCUCACCGACCUGCCACCUCUGGGUACUUAAGCAGAAUGAGGAGCCCGUAGCGCAGAGUGGUGCUCGUGGUCUCUGUGCCACCGAAGAAAAGGUUGUGCGUCGUCAUUACCAGCGUCUCUUCCUGGAAAUGGCUCUCAGGGUCAUUCUGCUCCUGUGGACAGAGAUGGGUGCUGUGGCAUGCCGGGCUCCUCCUGGUGGGCAGCAUGGGUAGAGUUUAGGGUCGCAGGGGCCUGAACCUUAUCCAUCUGAUCGAGGAAACAGUCGAUGAAAUCGCGGGGCUUCCCAGGCUGUCGCGUCUGCUGGUGCCGCUGGAUUUGCUCAGAGAUGAAGACACGAAGUUCCGUGAAGUUUUGAAAGAUUCGGUGGUGUGGGCCCGGGAGCCAGUCAAGGAGGGUGGGGAAAACGUUGUACAUCUAGGGGGACACGACCUAAUGAUCCAAGGUCUGUAGGUCUAUGUACUCUGGGUUUGGCAUAGGUCGGGCACAGGAGGGAGGGCCUGGGGCUAGCCCUCUCACCUCGCCCCAUCUGGAACUCAUGAUGCGGAAGUUGUCAUUGAAGAGGUCCAGGAGUCUCUGGAACUCUGGGUCCUCAUAGCCAUAGCGGUUCCCAAAGACCACGGAACAGAUAACGUUAGAUACAGCAUUACCUAGUAGCCGCCGGGGGUCGAACGGUGCUCCUGGGGGUGGGAACAGCACGGGAUCUUAACGCUGUGGUUUGGCAAAUGCCAAGAAAGCAAAUACCUCCCUGUGCCCCGCGCCCCAACUCCCCACUUAUUAAGAUUUGAAAGAUUUUAUUUUUAAGUGAUCUCUAUACCAAGCCUGGGGCUCGAACCUACAAUCCUGAUGGGAGAGUCGCUUGCUCCACUGACUGAACCAGCCAGGCGCCCCACCCUGCCCCUUCUUGAUCAUUGGCCACAUCCACAAAAGUCCCCACUCCUUUUCCGACCAGGCCGCACCAGUGGUGGCUUGAAAUUCGCCAAGCAGACAAGCCGCCUCCUCCAGGAUGCGCUCCUCUAUGGUCCGCGUUCCCAGUCCGAACUCCUUAAGUGCUCCCAGAGCAAAAUUGCGCAGCGUCCGCCAGCGCAGCCCGUUGGAAAACACGAUGCCUGGGGGUGGGGCAGGGGAGGGGCGGGCCGCGGGGUGGGCCACGCCCCAUCCGGGAAGCGUCCAGUUGGGGGGCCGGCUUCCUCGCAACCCCUCUACUGCUUUCCAGACUCGUUGGUUGCAACCCCAGCCUUCGCGGCCCUACCCGCACCUCGGCCUCACCCCUGCAGGUCUCCUUCCGCUCCCACCCCAAUUCGGCCCCUACGCUUUAGCUCCGCCCCGCCUCUCGCUCUUUGCCCUCAUUGGCCGCCUCAUUAGGCCCCGCCCCUCCCGGCCCCGCCCCUUAUCUCUCGAGCUGGGUGGUCCCGGCCAGCGCUUCCGCCGCCUGGGACUCACCGUUUCCGUGAGUGAAGCGCUCGAAGACCGCCAUGGCCCCGCGGCCGGAGAAGGCGUCCGCCUGCAGCACUAGUGCGUCCCGCAGCGCCGAGUAGCCGCACAGCACCACUGCAGGGCGCGGGCCCAGCCGCACGGUGAACACUGGGCCCCAGCGGCCAGAGAGCUACGCGGAGCCGGGGCUCAGCGCUGCGGGUCGGGGCUCCCGACCUCCCUCUGCAGCCCGGAGCCCCGACCCCAGCUCCCUCAGUACUGGCGGAGGAGAGAUCAGAUCCCCACUUCCUCCCUCCCUCCCUCCCUCCUUCCUCUGCAGGAGUCCAGGCUCCCAGCUCCCUCUUCUCUCGGGAUCUAAACACCAGGUCCCGAGCCCUCCGCACCCUCAGAACUAGGCGUCUGGGCCCUCGGUACUCUCCUCUCCACUGAACCAGGGGAGCGGACCCGACUUCCCACUCUAGGCUCCUCCUCCCUCAGGACCCGGGAGCGGGGGCGCGGGAUGGGGCGGGAGGGAGGGAUCCCAGGGCCAUUCCGCCAGGCCCACUGUCCUCUCCUCUCUCAAGCAGAUGUCCAGGCUCCCAGCUUCCACCUCUAGCCUACUUCCCUGGGACACAGGCCUCCAGACCCCUCCACCCUCCUCAGAACUCAUGGGGUCAGAGCCCUCAGCUCUCUUCAUUCAGAGAACCAGGAGUUCCAGACCCCUCCCCCCAAAAAAAUCAGGGCUACCUCCAUGAGCGCACGGUCCAGGCGUCGAGACUCCAGCUGCAGCAAGUUCCCAAGCAGUGGGAGAGGCGUCGGCCCCGGGGGUAGGGCCCCCUGAGUCCGAGUGCCCUGGGCACCCCAACUCCGCCUGGCUAGGGCCAGCAGCAGGAGCAGCAGCAGCAGCAGCAGCAGCGCGAACACCCUCCAGUUCCGGCCACCUUGAAGUAAAUGAUUUUGUUUAUUCAUGAGAGACACAGGGAAAGAGAGAGGCAGAGACACAGGCAGAGA